rnacentral:rRNA from 1 species
UACAGAGGUCUCAACCGUUGUUCGGAUUCAUUGGGCGUAAAGGGUGCGUAGGCGGUCGCGUAAGUCAGGUGUGAAAUCUCAGGGCUCAACCCUGAAACUGCACUUGAUACUGCGUGGCUCGGGUACUGGAGAGGAGACUGGAAUUUACGGUGUAGCAGUGAAAUGCGUAGAGAUCGUAAGGAAGACCAGUGGCGAAGGCGAGUCUCUGGAAAGCUGCUGACGCUGAGGCACGAAGGCCAGGGGAGCAAACGGG